UACUUAGGUAGCUUAAAUAAAGCGUUGGUCUUGUAAACCAAAGAUUGGGAGAUUACUCCUCCCUCUAAGUA
rnacentral:tRNA from 1 species